rnacentral:rRNA from 1 species
CCUACGGGAGGCUGCAGUGAGGAAUAUUGGUCAAUGGCCGGAAGGCUGAACCAGCCAAGCCGCGUGAGGGAGGAAGGCGCAGAGCGUCGCAGACCUCUUUUGCCGGGGGACAAAAGGCCGGACGGGUCCGGUUCUGAGGGUACCCGGAGAAAAAGCAUCGGCUAACUCCGUGCCAGCAGCCGCGGUAAUACGGAGGAUGCGAGCGUUAUCCGGAUUCAUUGGGUGUAAAGGGCGUGUAGGCGGGGACGCAAGUCAGAUGUGAAAACCACGGGCUCAACCUGUGGCCUGCAUUUGAAACUGUGUUUCUUGAGUACGGGGGAGGCAGACGGAAUUCCUGGUGUAGCGGUGAAAUGCGUAGAUAUUAGGAGGAACACCAGUGGCGAAGGCGGUCUGCUGGACAGCAACUGACGCUGAGGCGCGAAAGCGUGGGGAGCAAACAGGAUUAGAUACCCUUGUAGUC